rnacentral:rRNA from 1 species
AACGCGAAGAACCUUACCAGGUCUUGACAUCCUCUGACAAUCCUAGAGAUAGGACGUCCCCUUCGGGGGCAGAGUGACAGGUGGUGCAUGGUUGUCGUCAGCUCGUGUCGUGAGAUGUUGGGUUAAGUCCCGCAACGAGCGCAACCCUUGAUCUUAGUUGCCAGCAUUUAGUUGGGCACUCUAAGGUGACUGCCGGUGACAAACCGGAGGAAGGUGGGGAUGACGUCAAAUCAUCAUGCCCCUUAUGACCUGGGCUACACACGUGCUACAAUGGGCAGAACAUAGGGCAGCGAAACCGCGAGGUUAAGCCAAUCCCACAAAUCUGUUCUCAGUUCGGAUCGCAGUCUGCAACUCGACUGCGUGAAGCUGGAAUCGCUAGUAAUCGCGGAUCAGCAUGCCGCGGUGAAUACGUUCCCGGGCCUUGUACACACCG